rnacentral:rRNA from 1 species
GGGGGUUAGCGUUUUUCGGAAUUACUGGGCGUAAAGCGCGCGUAGGCGGAUCAGAAAGUUGGGGGUGAAAUCCCGGGGCUCAACCCCGGAACUGCCUCCAAAACUCCUGGUCUUGAGUUCGAGAGAGGUGAGUGGAAUUCCGAGUGUAGAGGUGAAAUUCGUAGAUAUUCGGAGGAACACCAGUGGCGAAGGCGGCUCACUGGCUCGAUACUGACGCUGUGGUGCGAAAGUGUGGGGAGCAAACAGGAUUAGAUACCCUGGUAGUCCACACUGUAAACGAUGAAUGCCAGUCGUCGGGUUGCAUGCAAUUCGGUGACACACCUAACGGAUUAAGCAUUCCGCCUGGGGAGUACGGUCGCAAGAUUAAAACUCAAAGGAAUUGACGGGGGCCCGCACAAGCGGUGGAGCAUGUGGUUUAAUUUGAAGCAACGCGCAGAACCUUACCAACCCUUGACAUCCUGUGCUACAUCCAGAGAGGGAUGGUUCCCUUCGGGGACGCAGUGACAGGUGCUGCAUGGCUGUCG